UACGUAGGGGGCUAGCGUUGUCCGGAAUCAUUGGGCGUAAAGCGCGUGUAGGCGGUCCGGUAAGUCCGCUGUGAAAGUCGAGGGCUCAACCCUCGAAUGCCGGUGGAUACUGUCGGGCUAGAGUACGGAAGAGGCGACUGGAAUUCUUGGUGUAGCAGUGAAAUGCGCAGAUAUCAGGAGGAACACCGGUGGCGAAGGCGGAUCUCUGGGCCUGUUCUGACGCUGAGGCGCGAAAGCUAGGGGAGCGAACAGG
rnacentral:rRNA from 1 species